UAGAAUAAAACCUGUAAGAAGGAAAACUCAGUCCAAAUAUUUAAGGUAAAAUCGGGUUUUCAACAAUUAGCUCAAGUACGCGCUCUUCACCUCACGUAUAAGGUAUUCAAUCACCAAAUAACAUAUCCUAAGGGGAAGGUCCCUCACACUAGGUUAGACAAGCCACUUGCCUCGAACUGACUCAAAAUCAACUAGAAACCACGCCUUUUCCAUGAGUAUCUGACUCUAAAUUUCCAAAUCUAUUCAAUUCAAUUACAUAUAGUAAAUAACAUUGUAAGAAACUGAUUCUACUAUUUAAUUCAAAGCUAAGACACAAAAUUAGGUAAAAUGACCAAAAUGCCGUCAAGCCAACGUCUCGGAAUCAGAUAAUUUUACAUUUUUAGAAUCCUCAUAUUCUCACGAGUCUAACAAUAUAAAAAUCUCUCAAACCGUAGUUGAACUAUUGGAGAAGGCGCAAAGCCUGAGUCUUGGUUUAACCGUAGUUAAACUUACUGGAGAAGGCACAUAGACUUGAUUCGAUGGUGAAGGGGCAUAGCCUGAGUCCCGGUUCAACCAUAGUUGAACUUUGAUAAAUUUGAUGACGAAGGCGCGUAGCCUGAGUCCCAGUUCAACUAUCAUGGAACGUUGUCGAUUUUGAUGGUAAAGGCGCAUAGCCCGAGUUUUGGUCCAACCGUAGUUGAACUAAUGGGGGAAGGCGCAUAGCUUGAUUCGAUGGUGAAGGCGCAUACC
rnacentral:lncRNA from 1 species